AGAUGACAUGUGAAUGAUGAGGGG
rnacentral:miRNA from 1 species